AAGAUGCAGCCGGAGAAACUGCCCGAGCGUUGUCUCGUCCGUCUUCUGAUGCUGUGCCUGGUUCCCAGCAACAUUGUGGUUGUGAGGUGGAAAAGGAACCGUCAUCCUCCAGCUGUUAAUAUUAGUGACGGAAAUAUUGUUAGGUUGUUCUAAAAGGAGUCGGCACCUCAAGUUCAUAGCCUGCAAGUUCUGCGGCCAGGCGGUCUCUCAUCCACCUCCUGAUGCUGUGCCUGGUUCCCAGCAACAUUGUGGUUGUGAGGUGGAAAAGGAACCGUCAUCCUCCAGCUGUUAAUAUUAGUGACGGAAAUAUUGUUAGGUUGUUCUAAAAGGAGUCGGCACCUCAAGUUCAUAGCCUGCAAGUUCUGCGGCCAGGUGGUGUCUCAUCCACCUCCUGAUGCUGUGCCUGGUUCCCAGCAACAUUGUGGUUGUGAGGUGGAAAAGGAACCGUCAUCCUCCAGCUGUUAAUAUUAGUGACGGAAAUAUUGUUAGGUUGUUCUAAAAGGAGUCGGCACCUCAAGUUCAUAGCCUGCAAGUUCUGCGGCCAGGCGGUCUCUCAUCCUCCUCCUGAUGCUGUGCCU